CGUUCGGCAGAGGGGCCUGCUCCGGGUCGGCGCCGCUUACCGCGGUGGGUCUCUGCGCCGUCCUGCGCCGCCCGGCUUCUUCGAGCUCCCGUCGAGCUCCCAGCUCUUCCUCAGGAGGACGCGGCCCGUCGGCAGGGCUCACGUUCUGAGGUACAACAAACUACAGAUCUGGACGCUGCCGCUUAGCAGCCGUGUGACGUCACGUGAACUCUGUAACUUCCUGGAGUCCUGGUGGCCGCAUCUGGCACAACAGAAGUAACCGUGGCACCUACCAGGAGUCGUCUCAAGGAUCUUUUUCAGAUGCAGCUGGCACAGUUUUUCAGGUCUAAUUGGCAACCUGGGGAGGCCCUUCUGGUAUCAGUGAAGUAAAGAAGGUGGUGAUAAAAGACCAAGCUGACGCCAUUAAUCCAGGCCUUUGAACUGCACUGGCAUCUUCACCUGCAUCUUCUCCACUCUCCUCUUCAAGCCCAUCAUCCAUAAGACGCUCCUUUCAAACAAAACAAGAAACAUAAUCCUCGGGGAUUUGAACAGCUAGCAUUAACUCAUGAAAGAAAGAAUUAAAUUCUUCCCUACAGAAAAGGAAUAUGAGCAUGUAAUAAGGAAAUGGUACAUAUCUGGUCAUUGUAAAGCUUUAUUAAACCCAAAAUUGAUAAAUUCCUCAGUGUUCAUGUUCAAGUGGAUAACUGCCAAUUUAAUACAAUAAAUUCUCAAAGUGUGCAUAAUUUACUUUCUAGGCUGUUUUCAGGUAGAAUAAUGUUAAUUCUUAAGUCUUUUUGGGUAUUUUUUUUUGUUUGAGUUUUUUUUUGAGAGAGAAAGAAGAGGGAAAAAGCGGAUGGUGAGGGAGAGAGAGAGAAUAGUAAGCAAGCUCCCUGCUGAGUGCAGAGCCCAAGACAAGAAUGGAUUUCAUGACACUGAGAUCAUGCCCUGAGCCAAAAUCCACAGUCGGACACUUAACCAACUGAGCCACUGAGGCACCCCUGCUUAAUUCUAAUAUAUGACUGACUCAGUAUUAUAAUCUAAGUUCUCCCAGAUAAAAUCACACAAUUUAUGUGUUAAUAUUUCUUCGUGUGCCAUUCCACAAAAACUUGUGGAACACCUCAAGAUUUUUUAUCAUGUUGGUUUCUUACAAGUGCUGAGGAACAUCUAUAUUUGAAGUAUACAAAAUACAAAACCCUCAUUAGCAUACCAUUUCUUCAAGUUCUAGGUUGUUUGCAUUUUGCCCAUCGUUGUUAACUUCGGCAUUAUUGUUGGGAGCCUGUUGCUGACCUCCUUCUUGCCUAAAAGGAAACCAUCCAGCUUGGUGUCUGUUCAGUAAAAUAAAGAAAAAAAGA